rnacentral:rRNA from 1 species
AUACGGAGGGGGCUAGCGUUGUUCGGAAUUACUGGGCGUAAAGCGCGCGUAGGCGGGCUGGUCAGUUGGGGGUGAAAUCCCGAGGCUUAACCUCGGAACUGCCCUCAAUACUGCCAGUCUUGAGUUCGCGAGAGGUGAGUGGAAUUCCUAGUGUAGAGGUGAAAUUCGUAGAUAUUAGGAAGAACACCAGUGGCGAAGGCGGCUCACUGGCUCGAAACUGACGCUGAGGCGCGAAAGCGUGGGGAGCAAACAGAAUUAGAAACCCCAGUAGUCC